UGAAUUGCAGAAUUCAGUGAAUCAUCGAAUCUUUGAACGCACCUUGCGCCCAUUGGUAUUCCGAUGGGCAUGCCUGUUUGAGUGUCUUGAAAUCAUCAAGCCCGUUCGGUUUCACCGCCGAGCGGGAUUGGACUUGGGGGCUUGCCGCUUCGCCGCGGCUCCCCUUAAAUGAAUCGGUUUCGGGUCUCUGUGGGAGUAACCCCUUGGGCGUUGUAUAACCCUCGCCGUCUGGGAACUCCUCGCGACGUCCGCGUCGUCGAAGGGCCUUGAAGGAACCUCGACCUGCUGUAGAGCGGCGGUCAACGUUAAUUUGAAAUCUGACCUCAAAUCAGGUAGGACUACCCGCUGAACUUAA
rnacentral:sRNA from 1 species